rnacentral:rRNA from 1 species
UACGUAGGGGGCAAGCGUUGUCCGGAUUUAUUGGGCGUAAAGAGCGUGUAGGCGGCUAUACAGGUCCGUUGUGAAAACUGGAGGCUUAACCUCCAGACGUCGAUGGAAACCGUAUGGCUAGAGUCCGGAAGAGGAGAGUGGAAUUCCUGGUGUAGCGGUGAAAUGCGCAGAUAUCAGGAAGAACACCCGUGGCGAAGGCGGCUCUCUGGGACGGUACUGACGCUGAGGCGCGAAAGCGUGGGGAGCGAACAGG